rnacentral:rRNA from 1 species
CCUACGGGUGGCAGCAGCAAGGAAUCUUCCGCAAUGGGGGCAACCCUGACGGAGCAACGCCGCGUGGGGGACGACACCCUUCGGGGCGUAAACCCCUUUUCGGCGGGAAGAAGGCCCUUCGGGGCUUGACGGUACCGCCGGAAGAAGGCCCGGCUAACCACGUGCCAGCAGCCGCGGUAAUACGUGGGGGCCGAGCGUUGUCCGGAGUUACUGGGCGUAAAGGGCGCGCAGGCGGCGGCGUGGGUCCGGCGUGAAAGCCCCCGGCUCAACCGGGGAGGGUCGCCGGGGACCGCGCCGCUUGAGGGCGGCAGGGGCCGGUGGAAUGCCUGGUGUAGUGGUGAAAUGCGUAGAGAUCAGGCGGAACACCCGUGGCGAAGGCGGCCGGCUGGGCCGUCCCUGACGCUGAGGCGCGAAGGCGUGGGGAGCGAACGGGAUUAGAU